rnacentral:rRNA from 1 species
UACAGAGGUCCCAAGCGUUAUUCGGAUUCACUGGGCGUAAAGGGCGCGUAGGCGGCCGUUUGCGUCGGAUGUGAAAGCCCGGGGCUCAACCUCGGAACGGCAUUCGAUACGGGACGGCUGGAGACCGGGAGAGGAGAGUGGAAUAGCCAGUGUAGAGGUGAAAUUCGUAGAUAUUGGCUGGAACACCGGUGGCGAAAGCGGCUCUCUGGCCCGGUUCUGACGCUGAGGCGCGAAAGCGUGGGGAGCAAACAGG